AUAAUGAGCAGCUUUCUCUUUUGAGUCACAAUGCCUUACAGUAAUACCUGCCUCACGUGACACCAGACUCUCCUAGAGUCGCACAGUGAAAUAAUUUCCUAAGUGCAAUUCAACUCAGUGUAGAUAGGUAUCAAAUAGCAUCAGAGGCUUCAGAAAUAAAGGAAAUGAAAAUGACUUCAAUGAACUUGGUGGGUGGAAACGGUAAGAACCUGAGUCAAAUAAGAAUUCACAUGAACACAUCCUACACAUGUUCCUCUUUCUCUAGGAGAAUAGCGCUCAAACAGCUUCUAAGAAAACGAAAGUGGCCGCUUUAGAACAAACAAGUUGAAAAGGCCACCACCAAGACGAGACAGAGUAACCUUCAGAGAUGAAGUGAGUGGGGGUAGUUGGAAUCAACUUGGGAGGGUCAGGCCUAGAUUUGCUUUCCAAUCCAGACUGGGAUGGUGGGUCAGAGCCCCUGGGGCCCCUAGUCCUGAGAAGGACUUCUCUUUUCUGGGCUGGACUUCAAACAGGGCCUGAGGAGGCGUGAGCUUUGGAAAGUUCUGGUAUUCCCUAGCUUGACUCAGCUGGACAAGCUGGCCGUUUGAUGAUGUCCUUCUUUUUCUCCUUUCUUAGUCGUCAUCUGGUUACAGAGAGCAAUGCAGUCAAAUAGGGAACUGACCUGUGGCCAAGGAUGAAGAAGAAAUUUCGGACACUCCCAUGAACACUCAUUCUCCAGUUCUAGAAAAUUUAAAGGAACUUGUGACUACCCUUCUUGUCUCCCCUGCUUUCCAUCUGCCCCACAGAGCAUCUCUCUAAU
rnacentral:lncRNA from 1 species